rnacentral:rRNA from 1 species
CAGGCCUAACACAUGCAAGUCGAGCGAGGCCCUCUCUUCGGAGGGGUGUCCUAGCGGCGAACGGGUGAGUAACACGUGGGUAACCUGCCCUCAGCUCUGGGAUAACUCCGGGAAACCGGGGCUAAUACCGGAUAUGACCUACCUGGGCAUCUUGGUGGGUGGAAAGUUUUUCGGCUGAGGAUGGGCCCGCGGCCUAUCAGCUUGUUGGUGGGGUGAUGGCCUACCAAGGCGACGACGGGUAGCCGGCCUGAGAGGGUGACCGGCCACACUGGGACUGAGACACGGCCCAGACUCCUACGGGAGGCAGCAGUGGGGAAUAUUGCGCAAUGGGCGAAAGCCUGACGCAGCGACGCCGCGUGAGGGACGAAGGCCUUCGGGUUGUAAACCUCUUUCAGCAGGGACGAAGCGAAAGUGACGGUACCUGCAGAAGAAGCACCGGCCAACUACGUGCCAGCAGCCGCGGUAAU